rnacentral:lncRNA from 1 species
AAGCAUGCUCGAUCAGCAGAGUCGAUAUCCGCACGGUCAUUACAAUAUUGUAGGCCUACUGUAGGCUACAUGAGUCUAUUUUAGCCCCGUUUCGCGCAGCUCUGAGACUGGACCCCUCGCGCAGCCGGGGCUUCUUUUGCUAAAUGGCUCUAAACAGUUUCCCAUGCAUUGUCAAUGGGGUUUGUAAACCAACCCGGAUGUAAUAUAAUUCUGACCACAUGUUGACUCAGUGGCGCUUCUCCAUGCAGGACGUGGGAGGAACGCACUCCUUAAACAGGAAUCGGUGCCUCACCGGUCACUGAGCUGGCAAGCUAAAGUUAUCUUGUUAGUCACAGAAAUGCCCUCCAUUCCCAAACCUGAAGCCCCCUGUCCCGAGCAGGAAAGACCAGGAAAAGUGUUGGUUUAAUUAAGAACUGCCAACCUGCUCGGUGGGUGACAGGUAACCAACCGUCUUUCCACCAAGCUGUUCCAGGUCUGAAGUGGCAGGCUGGAACUUCCAGAGGCUUGUAGACCUGAAGCAGUAUCUGACACCCCUAUUAGCUCAACCACAGUCUUCACAGCUGCAGUCGUCUGCCCCUGCAUCUGCUACACCGGCCACGACAGGUGAUACAGGUCUGCCAACCCCCAGCAGUUCAGCUGCUGUCACAGCAGUCCUCUGCUGUAGUAUUUAAUUUACCGGCUGCACCAGUUCCUACUACACUGGGAGUGAAGGGAGAAACUUUUGAGGAUACCCAGAUGGAUACAUAUCUGCCAUGCACUUCACCACUGCCUGACAGCCUCACCCAGAAGUGCAUACACUGGGCCUAUCAAGACUGACAAAGCAGAGAUGGGUGGCUGACAAGGAAAAAUAAAAUAACAUGCACUCACACACAUUAUCCACAAAGUAAAUAAGUUGUAAUUACUUGUUUAUUUAAUGUUUGCUCCAUUUUAUUUUCAGAUUGGAGAUAUCUACUCCUUCAUAACCAAUAUCUACAUAAUUACUGUAAAUAUCUAUCAAAUCAAAGUGUGAAUGAUAAUAUUGUAAAAGACUAUGGCUUAAUGUUUACAGUUUGAGGAAAUUCUGUGUGCUUUUUUCAGAGUUGAAAAACAUGUCUCCCUCUCACAAACGCACAUUAGACCCAAUGUAAAUAAAUUGUAAUAAGUUGUUUGUUGUAUGUAUGCUACAUUUUAUUUGAGGAAAAUAUCUGCAAUAAAGUACAUUCACAGUUAAAGCAAUGUCUGGUUUAUUGGAUAUUUCUCUGAAUACAAUGUAUGACCAGAAGGA